ensembl:snRNA U2 U2 spliceosomal RNA
AUCGCUUCUCGGCCUUUUGGCUACGAUCAAGUGUAGUAUCUGCUCUUAUCAGUUUAAUAUCUGAUACGUCCUCUAUCCGAGGACAAUAUAUUAAACGGAUUUUUGGAGCAGAGAGAUGGAAUAGGAGCUUACUGCGUCCAAUCCACGCAUCGACCUGGUGGUAUUGCAGUACUUUCAGGAACGGUGCAUUCCCU